CCUACGGGAGGCAGCAGUGAGGAAUAUUGGUCAAUGGACGAGAGUCUGAACCAGCCAAGUAGCGUGAAGGAUGACUGCCCUAUGGGUUGUAAACUUCUUUUAUAUGGGAAUAAAAUGUUCCACGUGUGGGAUUUUGUAUGUACCAUAUGAAUAAGGAUCGGCUAACUCCGUGCCAGCAGCCGCGGUAAUACGGAGGAUCCUAGCGGUAUCCGGAUUUAUUGGGUUUAAAGGGAGCGUAGGUGGAUUGUUAAGUCAGUUGUGAAAGUUUGCGGCUCAACCGUAAAAUUGCAGUUGAAACUGGCAGUCUUGAGUACAGUAGAGGUGAGCGGAAUUCGUGGUGUAGCGGUGAAAUGCUUAGAUAUCACGAAGAACUCCGAUUGCGAAGGCAGUUCACUGGACUGCAACUGACACUGAGGCUCGAAAGUGUGGGUAUCAAACAGGAUUAGAUACCCUUGUAGUC
rnacentral:rRNA from 1 species